AAGUAUUUUUUAUUUUUUAUUUUUUCCAUAAAAUUGGAAUGAUACAAAGAAGAUUAGCAUGGCCCAUGCGCAAGGAUGACACGCAUGAAUCGAGAAAUGGUUUAAAUUUUU
rnacentral:snRNA from 1 species